UGGGGAUGGGCAGGUCCCUCCAGGAGAGGAAUCUGUGCCUGUGCCAGCCCUGGGCUGGGGGGAACCAGCCUUCCCUCACCCUCCUCCCUUUUAGUCCUUGUUGCCAAAUUGGUUGUGAACAGAAUCCCAGGAUGUGCUGAGCUGGAAAGGACCCCCAAGGAUCAUCAGUCCAACCCUCAGCCCUGCACAGGCCCAGCCCCAAGAGUCACCCCCUGUGCCCCAGAGGAUUGGCUCUGGAAAGAAGUCCCUGUGAAUGAACAUGCUCACUUCUCCUGUGCUGGAGAAGACUGGAGGGAGUGGAUGUCAGUGUGUGAAGUCCUAGAAAAGAAGCUGGAUCAGCAGAGAAUCUUUGCCAGUGGAUCAUACACUGUCCUGCACAUCCAGAGACUGCUGAACCAAACCAGGAGUUGCCAUGAGUUCACACCCUAAGGACAUGCUUUCCAAUCCAACUGCUCUCUUAUUUCUGGACAAACCUUAGUUCUUAAAUUACAUUGCAUUUUUAAUGUC